GACGAACGCUGGCGGCGUGCCUAAUACAUGCAAGUAGGACGCAGUUGCGAACGGGUGAGUAACGCGUAGGUAACUACCUAUUAGAGGGGGAUAACUAUUGGACACGAUAGCUAAUACCGCAUACUAGUAGAUGGACCUGCGUUGUAUUAGCUAGUAGGUAGGGUAAUGGCCUACCUAGGCAACGAUACAUAGCCGACCUGGGAGGUGGAUCGGCAACACUGGGACUGGGACACGGGCCAGACGCAUACGGUAUGCAGCAGUAGGGAAUCUUCGGCAAUGGGGGGAACCCUGACCGAGCAACUCCGCGUGAGUGAAGAAGGUUUUCGGAUCGUAAAGCUAUGUUGUUAAGGAAGCGGUACUUAACCAGAAAGGGACGGCUAACUACGUGCCAGCAGCCGCGGUAAUUC
rnacentral:rRNA from 1 species